AUUGAACGCUGGCGGCAUGCCUUACACAUGCAAGUCGAACGGCAGCACGGGGCAACCCGGUGGCGAGUGGCGAACGGGUGAGUAAUAUAUCGGAACGUACCCUAGAGUGGGGGAUAACGUAGCGAAAGUUACGCUAAUACCGCAUACGAUCUAAGGAUGAAAGCAGGGGACCGCAAGGCCUUGUGCUCCUGGAGCGGCCGAUAUCUGAUUAGCUAGUUGGUGGGGUAAAGGCCACCAAGGCAUCGAUCAGUAGCUGGUCUGAGAGGACGACCAGCCACACUGGAACUGAGACACGGUCCGGACUCCUACGGGAGGCAGCAGUGGGGAAUUUUGGACAAUGGGCGCAAGCCUGAUCCAGCAAUGCCGCGUGAGUGAAGAAGGCCUGG
rnacentral:rRNA from 1 species